rnacentral:rRNA from 1 species
AGUGAACGCUGGCGGUAGGCCUAACACAUGCGAGUCGAACGGCAGCACAGUAAGAGCUUGCUCUUACGGUUGGCGAGUGGCGGACGGGUGAGGAAUACAUCGGAAUCUACUUUUUCGUGGGGGAUAACGUAGGGAAACUUACGCUAAUACCGCAUACGACCUACGGGUGAAAGCAGGGGAUCUUCGGACCUUGCGCGAUUGAAUGAGCCGAUGUCGGAUUAGCUAGUUGGCGGGGUAAAGGCCCACCAAGGCGACGAUCCGUAGCUGGUCUGAGAGGAUGAUCAGCCACACUGGAACUGAGACACGGUCCAGACUCCUACGGGAGGCAGCAGUGGGGAAUAUUGGACAAUGGGCGCAAGCCUGAUCCAGCCAUACCGCGUGGGUGAAGAAGGCCUUCGGGUUGUAAAGCCCUUUUGUUGGGAAAGAAAAGCAGCAGGUUAAUACCCCGCUGUUCUGACGGUACCCAAAGAAUAAGCACCGGCUAACUUCGUG